rnacentral:rRNA from 1 species
CCUACGGGUGGCAGCAGUGAGGAAUAUUGGGCAAUGGGCGUAAGCCUGACCCAGCCAAGCCGCGUGAAGGAAGAAUGCCCUCUGGGUUGUAAAUUCCUUUUACAAGGGAGCAACGCCGGCUACGUGUAGCCGGACGGAGAGGCCCUGAAUAAAUAGGAUCGGCCAGCUCCGUGCCAGCAGCCGGGGUAAUACGGAGGAUGCGAGCGUGAUCCGGAUUUAUUGGGUUAAAAGGGUGCGUAGGCGGAAUGCCUAGUCAGCGGUAAAACCGCGGGGCUCAACCACGCUCGGACGUUGAAACUGGAGUUCUAGAGUAUGAGAGAGGCAUGCGGAAUGCGUGGUGUAGCGGUGAAAUGCAUAGAUAUC